ensembl:lncRNA
CCGCCCCCCGCAGUGGGUGGAGCGUUAGCUCGUAACGGCUUCCCACUGAGACCCGUGCCCUGGCUUUAACUUUGAGGCUUCCUGGGGUCCGCAGGCUUGAGUGGGUCUGAAGCAGAGGGUCCGCCUCAGGGACGUUAGCCUCUUAAGCAAGCGUCAAGUGAUGGCUCCAUUUUAGUUCUCACGCAUCCCAGAAGAAACAAAGCCCACCCGAGAGGGGAAUUUAUUUGUCUAAAGUCAGUAGCGCAUGCAAAACUUGAAAAUUGAUCAGAAUCCGCGAUGGGCACACCAGCCUCAGAACUGUAAUUUCCCAGAGUUGCAAGGCGAUUGCUCGCUCCUGUGAAACAGAAUAGGGAAAAGCCAAAGGAGCUCAAGAUAAGGAAAGCAAGUCCAAUGUGUCCAGAUUACCUGCUUGUAAUAAGUACAUUUAAUCUUAAAGUUCAGGAUUCACCGCCUUGAGUUACCGACUUAGACGAAAGAUAUCAGUGUCAGCAAAUUGACUUCUUGGUCUUGGUGUAUGUUCACAAAGACUGGGUUCCAUCCCCUGUACCUCACUACCAGGCAAGCCUGCUACCAAUUGAACAACAAUCCCAGUCCUCAAACCUGUUUAUCAUGCUCUCUUCAGUCCGAUCAGCUAUCUCAUUGCUGAGGGAAGAUGACCCCAAACCCAAGAAAUAGGUGCAGAGGCACUCUUGCAAACCACACAUCUAGUACAGCAGUAUUGUAAUCUGGGCCUCGAACACGAGCUUUAGCAAAAUUACAUAGGGCUACAUGUCCUGAGUUCUAGGAUUAGACUUGAAUUACCAGAAUCACAAUAUUAAGUUUGUGGUAGCUUCUGGACUUCUGUGUAAAUGGCUGGCUUAACAUCGAUGACUUUGUCUGAAUGUAGUUUUAUCAUUCAGUUCUAUAACACCAGAUGUUAUAGAAUGAUGGGAGACAAAGGGCUUUUUCCACAGGCUGGAUGAAUAGUUAUGGGUCUCUACCACUAAAUCUUUGCAAAUCUAAAUCUCAAUAGCUUUUCUAAAUCCUGCUUGCUCCUUGCUACAGCCAGUUCUGCAGUGAUAUCCUAUGCCCCCACAAUAGAAUAUGCUAAGCAUAAAAAAACAGUUGAUAGGGUUGAAGAGUGCCACAGACGUGGGGAUAAUGGGAACAUGCUAUCUUAUGGUUGAAGGUCACACAAAUGAAGUAAAAUUUUACCUCCUUAGGAUCCUAUUUUUUGGCAUGUUUUUUCCUCAUGCCAAACCUCACAGCAAACCCAAAAAGGACUAGAUUCUAUACUCAAGUGACUGCUUCCCAAAUGGUCAUCUGUGACAGCAAAUGUGGCCUUUCUAAGUCCUAACGGCCUGAACCAAUUCUCUGAUCUAGCCAGGCGGAGGAGAGUGGAGACGUAGGCAGGAGUAACUUGCCCAAGGAGUGGAGGACUUAACUAGGAAGCGUGGGAACAGGGACUAUCAUUUUAAUUUAAAACUCAAAAAAGAUUUAUGUCUGCUUGUGAGAUUUAGAACCAAGAGGAAUUAAAAGAACACUUAUUUUUCUCAUUGCUGGGAGAAAACAACUGGAGAAGGGACUUUAGCAUUUUAUUUUGGGUCAUAGCUGGAGGCUACAGUCUAUCAGGGCAGGCUUACCUAACGAGGCAGCUGGUCACAUAUCAUCUACUAGAAACAGAUGAAUGACGGUACUCACCCAGCCUUUCUUCAUUUACUCUGGCAGUUAGGGUGGGUCUUCCCACUUGAAUUAACCAGAUAAAGACGCUCCCUCACACGCUCCCUCACAGACUGCCCAGACAUUUUCCUCUUAGGUGAUUCUAGAUCCUGUCCAGUUGACUAUCAGUAUAAACCACCAUCAUGAGCACUGAUUCUAAAUUCAAUCACCAGUUCAUGGGAUCAAGUGAUCUCCCUGCUCCUUCCUCCCUAGUACCUACAACUAUAGGCACGGACCGUGGCACCUAGUUUCAAAUACAGCAAUCAGAAUGUCUUUAUUUCCCAAAUAUGUUUUUUGUUUUAAUUUAGUUUAGCUAGAGCUUCACCAUCUGGUCCUAGCUGACCUGGAACAUGCCACAUAGAAGCAACCUGACUUCCAACUCCCAGAGCUGGGCUUGCUUCUACCCCCCACUAGGGCUAAGACUGAAGAAAGACAUGUGCCACAAUACCCAGUUUUAUGUUUGGUUUACAUUAUUUUGUGUGUAGAAGUUCUCACAAUGUGUGUCCUCGGGAUCAAACUCACUGUCACGCUCAGUGGUAGAAGUCUUUACCUGGGGUUGGGGAUUUAGCUCAGUGGUAGAGAGCUUGCCUAGGAAGCGCAAGGCCCUGGGUUCGGUCCCCAGCUCCGAAAAAAAAAAAACAAAAACAAAAACAAAAAAACCAAAAAAGAAGUCUUUACCAGUGGAGUCCUCUUGCUGACCCUAUUUUCCAAAUAAGUUAAAAAGAGUUAUUAAUAAUACCCUGAAACGUUAGAUAUUGUAUUAUUUUUCUGCUAUUCUCUUAUCAAAGGUUCUAUUUUUAAAAUUCCCUGUCUUCAAUCUUAGAUUAUUAAAUUCUGAGUUUUAAAAUAUAAAAAUUAAGAUGUAAAAUGAAGGCACUAUUUCUAAACUUGCCUUUCUGGUUAUUUCCAAAAUAGUUCAUUUCUUCAGAUCAUAGAAAGUGGAAGGCAAAGAGCUAUCGAGAGCCAUCUAGCACUUUUGAAGGCGAAUGUGAAACUUUUACAGCAAAACAUGAAGCAUUUUGAUAUGGGGGAAAAAGGGGAAGGCAUUUAUAAAUUGGUGGAGACAGUGAGGACAGACAUUGCAUGUUGAGGAUGCUGAGGAAAACAGAAUGAGAGGGUAGAGGCCAUAUGACCGUAACCACUUUUCCUUUAAAAACCAUUGUUAGCCAAGCCGGGACACUAAGCAGGAAAACUGGAUUAGCAAACACAACAUCACUAAGUACAGCAACGAGGUCCAGCAGUACUCACACUGAUUGGAAGAUGAAUGAGUGCUGCUGCUGGUUUUGGCUUUUCCAGACAGGUCUCAAGUUGCCCAGGCUGACCUUGAACUCACUAUGAAGCUGAAGUUUACCCUAAAAUCCCUACCUGUGCCUUUGCCUUCUUUGCUGGAAUUAAACCUGUGUGCCACCAUGCCCGGCUCCACUGUGUGUUUAGUAAAUAGUUGAGUGUUUUUAUAUACGGGGGUAUGGGAGGCACUGUGGCAGCAAGAAGAGGCUAUCGGAUCCCUUGGGAAAUCACUGUAGUUCUCUGCAAGGGCAGUACACGUUUCUGAUCAUUGAGCUUUCUCCCCAGCACUGCUUUUACUUGUGUUUUGAAUUGGGCUGUAGAAACGAGGGUCAACAUGAGCUACCCAGGAGAGGGCACCAUCACCCAGUACUGUGAAGGGAAAACAGAUACGAUGGUAAGGCUUCAGGAGAAGCCACAGGACAGGCUGGCAUCUGUCCAUGGCACCCCCAUUCUUCUUGUUUAUAUCAUCCUUAUCCCUGGAAGGCAACACCCACUUUCCUGUUUCCUGGAGCUUCAGACAGGUUCUCAAAAAAACAAACACCACGAAAAAACAAAAAAAAAAAAAAAAACAGCACUGGGCUCAUAGUUUGCUUAAAAAGCACACUGGUAAUAGGUUUGUGGUCUAAGAACAUACAUAGGUACUUUAAUGGCAUACCGACAUGGGAAUGUAUUACUGAGCUGGUGGGAUGUCAAUUACUAUCAAAUUGGAAUUAAAAAAUACAAGAGGUGGUGCUGGAGAGAUGACUUGGCUGUUAAGGAUGUAUGUUGUUGCAGAGGACAACGAUUUGAUUCCCAGCACUCACGUUUGUACUCAACAGUCUUUAGCUCCCUCCAGUCCCGGAUCUAAUGGCCUCUCCUGACCUCUGAGGACACCAGGCGUGCACAUGCUACACAAAGUAUGGGCAAAACACUCUAACGUUUUAAAUCUACAAAAAAUGUUUACAAAUGCGUGUAUACGUGUGCUGUGGAGGUCUGUGUGCACCCGCUGUAGUGUGUCCAUGAAAAUAGGACAACUCGGUAGAGAACCCAGUGACACAGUCUUAAAAUCAUUGAGAAGGUCCUAAGUUUACAAUCACCAAACAUAUAAGUAACAAAAUUACUAAUAUGUAAUAAAACUCCAUUGAUUUUUCUUUAAAAAUUACCUUUAUUAUUUAUACAGAGAGGUCAGAGGACAAUAGUAAGUUCUUUCCUUCUAUUCAAGUCAUCAGGCUUAGAGAGGCCUUGCUUAACCCACUGACUAUUAUAUAAAAAAAAAUCUGUUACUAUAAAAGAAAGAAGACAGUAAGAAAUGAGACAUUUGACUGUUUAGUGGUGUGUUUGUGUGACCAGAGGCCAGUAUCUGGAGUUGGUUCACUCCCAUGUAGGUCCCAGGGAUUGAGCUCAGGUCACCAGGCUUGUCAGUCAGUGCCCAGUGCCGUUAGCCACUGAGCCAUUUCACUGGUCCCUUAUUUUUGAUACUAUAAACUACCUAAUGUCAAAAAAUCACAAAACCUUUUCAACAUCUGGCCUCCACUUAGCCAUCCUACCACCCAAAAGCCAAUGUCAACGAACAUCAACACUUAAAAAAAAAAAGUCCUGGAAUCGGGUGACUCGAAUGGCCUCUGUCUUGUGAAAUCCCGUCUUGGCGACAGACGAUGCAUUUGACAAUUUUUCAAAUGAAUUUUCUCAAUGUACUAUGCAAUGACGGCUCAGUAGGUGUGAGUCCGUGGGUGGUAAUUACGUGAUAUUUUUCAAGUUUCUCUCACCUACCAUCACAGGGCACCAUUCAGGUACAUUGGCGAUGGAAAAAGGAAAUUGUUUGAACAUAUUUAUUACUUGGUACAGAUCUAUUUAGUGUGUCUUAAUGGCAUUAAAAGAGCCAUUUCUUUUUACAGUGACAUUGUCAUGGGCACCAAGAAAAACAGUUGAGGUAUAACUGGAGUACCAGCGCCAAAGCUUGGCAGUUUGAUGAAUUUCCUUCCUUCCCGUUGAGACAGGACCUCAUGUAGCCCAGGCUGACCUCAUGUAACCCAGGCUGGCCUCGACCUUGGCAUAGCAAAGGAUGACCUUGAACUUCUAGGCCUCCUGUCUCCCACUUCCGGAGGGGGAAGACCUCAAGGCAGGUGUUGCCCACCCAUUCAUGCAGUGCUGGGAACUGAACCCAGGACCUCGUAUGCUAGGCAAGCACUCAUCCAUUUGAGCUACGUCCCACCUCCCCCGAAUUUCUUUCCAUUUUUCAGUUUCGUCAAUUCACUUGGCUGUAGUCCAGCAAGACAAACUGAUUAAAAAUAUCAUCUUUCCCCCACCCCACCCCCUGGGACCUUAUAUCUGCUACACUCUCUGCCAUAGAUCAACAGACUUGAUAUCAGUAAAGGAUUUUGUUGCUAUUAAAUAUGCUGCUAUCCUUUUACAACAGAAUCCGAGUUUGGCUUUUAAAAAAAAAAUGUUUUCUGAGGCAAUAGCCAUUUAAAAAAACAUUCAUUUCCACGGUGUUUUCCCUCCGGCAUAAUCCCUAACACACACCCAAUUUGGCAGCACAUAUUUUUCUUGUAUAAUGGCUUUAAAAACUAGAAUCGUUGAAAAUGUGACAAGUUCUCUACAAAUUAAACAGAAUGUCUUACUACUACAGAGCAAAAAAAAAAACACUCAGACAUCUGCCAACUUUUCACUUGAGGGAGUUUUUUCCUUUCUGGAUGUGAGAUUAUUAGUAAAUAUGGCUGAAGAAAUGGGCAGAGUAGGAGACUCAGCAUGGCAGAGGCCAGCUGCUUGCCUAGGGGGCCACGACAGGGAUAUAUGUGACUGCACGGCCAUCAGGGACGACUUGCUUCUCAGUUACCACAUCUUCAUAUUCAUCUGAGAUGUGGUGGCUGAGGGACUGGGGCCACAGGCUCAGGCCCCUGUUCCUCCUCCUACAACUUGAUUUGACUGAACAGGAUGAGCUGGCCAUUGUAUUCUCUGGCUUCCCAAAGGCCACAUACAUACCUGCCUAGACCUUAAUUCGGGGGACAGCAUCAAAUCAGAAGCAUGAAUAGUCACCAGAAAAUUGUAGUGAGAUUUAUUUAUUUAUUUAUUU